AUGUUUGUUGUGCCUUACUCAAGAAUAAAAUAUACCCCAAUCAGGGUGUUUUCCAUUCCUCUGAAUAUGUCUACUCUUAUGUAUUUGUUUGAUACCUAUAGGAUCCAAUUUUAUUGAUGCAGGAGGGAAUGCCGGGUCUUGAGUACAAUGAAAUUGUUAGGAAGGUGUUUCACGAUGAAGAACAAGGAUAUGAGUUUUAUAACAACUACGUUAAGGGGAAAGGAUUUUGUAUCAGGAAAGACUAUUGUGAGUGAGACAUUGGCCACAAUGAGAGGAUUCUUCGGCAUUUUGUUUGCAGUUAUCAAGGUUUCCGCGAAGAGAAGGAGCUAAAGAGUGAGAAUAAGAAGCGGAAGCAGCGGAAUAUUACUCAUUUUGGAUGCCCUGCUAAACUUGUGAUUGCACGGGAUCAGAACACAUGGCAGUGGCAUGUGAAGGAUUUCAUCUGUGAACACAACCAUCCGAUGGUGGAACAAGGUCUUGCUUGUCUUCUACGUUCACAUACAAGAAUCAGAGAUGAGUAGAAAGCUGAUAUUUUGGCGAUGCAGAUUUCUGGGAUCCGCAGACACCAGAUAAUGGCUACUAUGGAAAUGUUGUAUGGUGGGUAUGAUAAGGUUGGAUUUAUAAAAAGGGAUUUGUAUAAUUUCUGCCAUCACAAUAAGGUGGUGACAGUUGCUGCUGGUGAUGCUCAAAUAGUCAUCAGUUACCUGACAGAAUGCAGACGUAGGGAUCCUAAUUUCUACUUUGACUACAAGACUGAUGAGAAAGGGCACCUCAAGGUACUGCUCUAGUGUGAUACUCAAAGUCAGCUUGAUUAUACAACAUUUGGUGAUGUCGUAGUAUUUGGUAGUACACACAAAACGAACCGGUACAACACGCCCCUUGUUCCUUUUAUCGGGGUGAAUCAGCAUGGCAGCACAGUUCUUUUUGCUUGUGGAGUUACUUCCAAGGAGACAACUGAGUCAUAUGUGUGGAUGCUUAACACAUUCUCUUAUGCCAUGGCUCAGAAGCAUCCGGUUUCUGUGAUCACUGAUGGAGACCUUGCUAUGCAGAGAGCAAUCGGGCUGGUGUGGCCGAAUUCAUCACAUAGGCAAUGCAUAUGGCAUAUUGAGUAGUGCAUUGUGCGUAAUCUUCACAAUGAUGAUGUCAAGAAUGAUUUGAGGCAUUUCCUUUAUGAUUGUUGCUCCAUAGAAGAGAUUAAGAGAAAAUGGCUCCAAUUCUUGAAUAAGCAUAACGUUACGGAUACAGAGUCGUGGCUGUAUGCGAUGUAUGAGAGGAGGCACGUCUGGUGUGCUGUGUAUCAUGUUGGUAAGUGCUAUUUAGGACUGCGUAGCUACUAGCGGAGUGAGAGCCUAAACUCUAGGCUUCAGGUAAAUCUAGAUUGUAAAAUGACACUGUUUCAGCUGGUAGAGCACUUUGACUACUGCCUUUCGUAGUUGCGCGUUAAUGAAGCGAUUUUAGACCUUGUAGCAUCGAGUUCCUUGCCAUACUUAGAACCAGAUGCUUCAAUUAUUGAGAAAGCGGCUGCAAAAUCAUUCACACCAAGUGUUUUUGCCACGGUGCAGUUCAACAUAAAAGUAGCCACAAUGUGUUUUGCAAGACAGAUUGAAGAUGAUGGCUAUGAUACGAUUAAGUAUAUUGUUUGCAGGAAGGAUAAAGGAGACAUAGAAUACUAUGUGGAAUGUGAGAUAUGUGUUGAUGAAAGCAACCUGAAGGGAAUUCAUUGUUCUUGUCUUAAGUUGCAGUCCCUUGGAACUCUAUGCUCACACAUCUUCUUUGUAUUGGGCGAUCUUAAAGAAUGACGGCUUCCAAACUGCCGUGUUUUAAAAAGGUGGACAAGGGGGGCCAAGAGUGCAUUUCCUCCUAUAAGGAAGAGCAGCACGUAUGACUAUACGGAUAGCCUACAAAAGUACCAUGAGCUAUGCAAUAUCGGUCACACUACAUCCUUUGUAGCAUCUCGGUCACCCGAAGCAUAUGAACGGCUCAAACGUGUUCUGGAAGAGGAAGCUGCUAUGAUCCUGCCAAAUGGAGGAGAGAAUAGAGGCAAGAGGUACGGCCUGGUGCUUCUGCAAGCCCUACAUGUUGACUCUACCGAGUCCAUAGAUGUCUUGGAUCCCAUGUAUGUUCCUAGUAGAGGGGCCCUGAAGAAAAAGUUGAAGUCAAAUAAGAAUAGAGCUAAGAGGAAGUGUACCCUGUGUAAGGGUGAGGGUCACAAUCGGUGAAAAUGCUACAUGAGAGAAGAGGAAACAAAGCUCCCUGAAGAUGUACCGGAUUUAUGAUUUGCCAAUGACUAUAACUGUAUAUCAGGUUUCUGCACUAUCCAUGAAGCUGAUUUGUUCACUGUACUAUCAGUAAUAAAAUCCACGCUGGAGAUUGGUAAUAAUUGCUGCAUUUGACAUUUGCACACUGAUACUAUUGUUAGAGAGCACCUAAAUGAACAAAAAAAAAA